rnacentral:lncRNA from 1 species
CUGAACUUCAGGAUAUCAUUCCGGUCUCAGCCUGGUGGCAUUCUUCUUGGAGUUACUACAAGCUUCAUCAGUGGUCGCCAUUGUCUUCCUGAUAGUUUUCCAUGAUGUCCUGAUUUCCAUGGGUUUCCCAUUAAAGACUCUGCCAUGCAGGGAAGCUUCCUCCUCCACUUAAUUUCUAAUGGGAAGUUGCAUCAGGAGAAAGCAGCCCUUUUCUUGAGCCACCUGCUGCUCUGGAUGCUGUUAGCACACUUCAGUAAGAUUUCUAGUGCCCAAGUGGGAUGGAAAGGACAGGCUGAAUUGACUCUAACAUGGGCUCUAAUUGUGAGGAGACCCAAGGCAUGCCAGGAAUCUUGCUAUCAUCACACAGAGCAUGAGAACAACUCCCAAGAGAAAAGGAGACAAUCUGCUACAUGGGAACAAGCACAUUUUAUAGAUGAGGAAACUGAGACAAAUAGAGGUCUUUUUUAAAUAGAGGAAACAAAGAAGAAAACAGUCACCCAGGCUUGGAGUAAAGUAUCUGUCAUUCAGAGUUGGAGGGAAGACAGACACUUGAGGAGAGACUGGAAGAUGGACAGUGGGACUUGGCUGUAGAACUGGACCCCUGGAGAAGCUCAUGCAGGAGACCUCAGACUGCUUUCCUUUUUCCUUUGGUGAGUGAAAGGCUGACUUAUUGACUCCGCCUUUCUGGAGGUAUGAACCUCCAAAAAAGGCCCAUCAUCUUAGGACUCUUUUCCCUGAAUUGGGCCUUGGAAUUUCUACCUGGCUCAGAAGAAUCUGGAGUUUUAUCCCUCUCUCCCCUUUACUCACUUCCUUAAUAUCUUAGAUUCUGUUGUAAAUAAACUACCAUAAAUUACAUUUUACU